GAAUGCUAAUUGUCCAAUUCAAUAGCUAUUACUUCAAAUGUUAUCUGACUUUGUUGCUAUGUCAAAAUUGUGGACAUUAUUAUGAAAUGGAAGCCUUGUAUGAACUCUCUCCGGUUGACAAGUCUUAAUUCAUUACAUUUUUAUAUCGGAACAAAUGCAGCCUUAUUAUCACAGGUUAGUGUCCUGCUGUGUGCCAUUCUUUUGCUAGAAUACAUGACGGUGAUGUGUCUUUAAAGCCUAAUGCAUUCUUGUUUAAAGAUUAAAGAAUUAUAUACUUAUGUAGGUAUCAGCUGAAGAUAUUAAGUUAGUCUUGUUCUAUUUACACAGCACAUCUCCUAAAUUGAUUAAGUUAAUCCAUCCAUUCAUCAUUUUCUGUAUGUGUACUUUGGUUCCCACUAAUCUCGUACAUACUCUAGGGAUAUGUUAGAUGUGGUGAAGAAGGAAUGGGUUGUCUAUAUGAUCACUAAUGUGAUCAACGGGCCAAAAGUACUAAGAAUUUCUGCAUUAUAACUUCUGGUUAACAGGAGAAAGGUGCAUGCUGGCUUGUUUGGAAAAUAGCAGAGGGAAAAGAAUGCAAGAUAAUUUGACCUCCUCAAUUUGGUGGUGCUUUAAGGGGAAUUGGAGAUGGUGUUAAACUAUGCUUCUUUGGCAACUAUUUGGUUAGUUUUCUGCAAUGUGGUCCUUUGUUUCUAGCUACGCUAAGUAAAGGCCUAACUAAUACAAAAGUGUUGGUGGUUUUUUUCAUCUUUGUUUUCUUUUGUUCAAAUGUGAAAAUGUUUAACUAGAUUGACUUGUGGUUUUUUUUCCUGAAUUUUAACUCAACUUUGUUUUCCUUUUCCUUCUUUAUUUUCUCACACAGAGCAAGAAGCUACUGCCACACAAGGAGAUUGCUCGCACCUUCG